CCGAGUUUACAACUCCCAAACCCAAUGUGAACGUUACCAAACUGUUGCCAUCGGCGGGGUCACGCCCCGGGUGCGUAAAAGCCCCGGAACCAGGCGCCCGCCGGAGGAACCAACCAAACUCUUUCUGUAGUCCCCUCGCGGACGUAUUUCUUACAGCUCUGAGCAAAAAUUCAAAAUGAAUCA
rnacentral:misc_RNA from 1 species